GUCUACGGCCAUAGCACCCUGAACGUGCCCAAUCUCUGUUCUCGGAAGCUAAGCAGGGUCGGGCCUGGUUAAUUCUUGGAUGGGAGACCACCUGGCAAAACCAGGUGCAGUAGUCU
rnacentral:rRNA from 1 species